rnacentral:rRNA from 1 species
GACGAACGCUGGCGGCGUGCUUAACACAUGCAAGUCGAACGGAAAGGCCCUGCUUUUGUUGGUUGCUCGAGUGGCGAACGGGUGAGUAACACGCGAGUAACCUGCCCUUGACUUUGGGAUAACUUCAGGAAACUCGGGCUCAUACCCGAUAGGAGCUUCUGCUGCACGGUGUGGGUUGGAAAGUUUCGGCGGUUGGGGAUGUACUCGCGGCGUAUCAGCUUGUUGGUGGGGUUGUGGAUUACCAAGGCUUUCACGGGUAGCCGGCCUGAGAGGGUGACCGGCGACCCUGGCACUGACAUGAGGCACAGACUGCGACGGGAGGCAGCAGUGGGGAAUAUUGCACGAUGGGCGGCAGGUGGAUGCAGCAGCGCCGCGUGCGGGAAGACGGCCUUCGGGUGGUAAACCGCUUUCGCAUGUAACGAAGCGUGAGUGGAGGGAAUGGGUACAGAAGCACCGGCUAACUACGUG